GCGAUUCCGAAUCAAGCGGUUUUGUAAAUAAUCAGCGUGGUUUUUGGGAAAAGAACUCCAGGCAGGGGACAUGGACAUGGCGCCCGGCGGCGAGGUUACCGGCAACCUUCGUGAGCACCCCCUCCGCCCUAGCCCACCGCAAGCAUCCCGCGGUACGCGUAGGCUUGAGAUCGACUGCCUUCGUGGGCGGCCGCGGUGCGGGGAGGAGCCCAACAAGAUACGCGCGCUCCGCCGCGGCAGGGAUGAAGCCGCCUCCCGCAUCCGUCUUAUCAGUCGGCUGGCUCCGCCUGUCCUUACCCGGCAAGAACAUGCCGCGUAUUUCACCUCCAGGAUGAUGUAUUGAUGUAUCGCAUGCAACUUGAGAAGGACCUCUAUGAGAAUCCUGACAACACUGCCUAUCAACUAUGUAACACACCAGAGGCCAUGGAAUCAGAUUCAGAUGUUUCCCUGGAUAUGGAAUCUGAUGACCUAUAUACAAAAAGUCCAUGCACAUCUCAGAGUGGGCGUGACCUCUGUGAGAAUGCUGACAAAUAUGGUGACCUGGUCCAGAAAGUCCAUGCACAUCCCAGAAUGGGCGUGAUGUGCCAGCUGAUAAUGCUCUGUUAGAGACCACAAGCGUUGGAAGUGCAAUGCGAGAAUCUCGUAACUGCAGCACCAGCUCAAGCAAGAAAGGAGAUUCUAGUUGCAGCUCUCCUCUUUCAAAAAACCAAAGGCCAUCAUCAGGUUCCAGGUGCAGCUCUCCUGUUUGCAUGGCACAGUAACGUACUGUCGAAGACCUAAGGCCAUUGUCAGACAGAGAAUGGGAUUCCCUUAGACAAAAAAUAAAGAACAUUAUAGGAAGCAGACAUGAACAAUUAAAUAUUCUUCUUUCCUCAGAGGACACCAUGCUUAGGAAGAAUGAGGAGAUUGCAACUAUAAAAGACUGCAGUAUUACAAAAGCUGACGUACUUCACUCCUUCAAUGAUCCCGUGAAAAGUAGUGCAAUCCUUGAUGUAUUUAGAAUUUGCUUGAAUCCUUGAUGUCAGAGACAAAAAUAAUAAAAAAGAAAAGUGCAUGUGUAUAGAAAUAUAAAAGUAAACGACUAUUCACACGGUUGGUCCUACAAUUUGUCUUUUUUAAUCUCGUAUCAGGAUUGAAUUUGUUAUUGAAAUUUUGUACAUAUUUAAAUCUUACCCACACCUAUACGACUA